GACUCGGUGGUGAAUUGUAUUACAUCCACUUCAAAUGAUCAAACGAUAUUUGACGAAAUCAGUGGAAAUCGCCCGUUCGACUCGGGUCCGAGUCA